rnacentral:rRNA from 1 species
UACAGAGGGGGCAAGCGUUGUUCGGAAUUACUGGGCGUAAAGGGCGCGUAGGCGGCCUGCUAAGUCGAACGUGAAAUCCCCGGGCUCAACCCGGGAACUGCGUCCGAUACUGGCAGGCUUGAAUUCGGGAGAGGGAUGCGGAAUUCCAGGUGUAGCGGUGAAAUGCGUAGAUAUCUGGAGGAACACCGGUGGCGAAGGCGGCAUCCUGGACCAAUUCUGACGCUGAGUGAGCGAAAGCCAGGGGAGCAAACGGG